AAUGUGACAAAGGUAAAAUUAAACACCUUGAGGCCAAGGUGACUUCUGGGCGUGAGUUUGUCUUACGGGUUUUAUUGUACAUCAAAGCGUUGCGGCUGACAAAAGCAAACGUAAACACAUGCAAAAUAUUACAAAGCU